rnacentral:rRNA from 1 species
UGGGGAAUAUUGGACAAUGGGCGAAAGCCUGAUCCAGCAAUGCCGCGUGAGUGAUGAAGGCCUUCGGGUUGUAAAGCUCUGUCGGGAGGGACGAAUAGGGUGGUGUAAUGGCCACUUCUGACGGUACCUCCAAAGGAAGCACCGGCUAACUCUGUGCCAGCAGCCGCGGUAAUACAGAGGGUGCAAGCGUUGUUCGGAAUUACUGGGCGUAAAGCGCGUGUAGGCGGCGUCGUGAGUCAUAUGUGAAAGCCCUCGGCUCAACCGAGGAAGUGCAUGUGAUACUGCGAUGCUUGAGUGUUGGAGGGGGUGGCGGAAUUCCCGGUGUAGAGGUGAAAUUCGUAGAUAUCGGGAGGAACACCUGUGGCGAAGGCGGCCACCUGGACAACAACUGACGCUGAGACGCGAAAGCGUGGGUAGCAAACAGGAUUAGAUACCCCAGUAGUCCCUGAGCGGGCUGGCAAGGCGCAU